rnacentral:lncRNA from 1 species
GUCGAGGACCGGAUUCGUCGACGCAGGGUCUGAGCAUGCACUGCAUCAGGCCUAUCUACUGCUACCUCCGGCUGUCUGCCCUGCUGGCUUCAUCGGACAAAACAAGUCGCAGGAAGCUGUACCACGUGCACUGCACUGGGACCACCUGACCAGCACGGUAACGUCGACGGAGACAUCGUGGCACCCGGAUAAAAGCAGCAGCCUUUUCGACGUUCCCUUCAGUGGACUUGGAAGCACCUAACGAGCACGGAUGCUGAUCAAAUUUUUUCUGAUCGCACAGGCGAUCUUUGGAAACUUCAGUGAUACCUGACGACUGGCGAAGGGCCAAAGUAAUACCUGUGCACAAAUCUGGCUCUAAACUCGACAGUUCAUCACUUGUGCAUGUGCAACACAUUGGCGGAGGCAAUACGAACUGCAUUUCUCACUAGCUGGACAAGUCGGAAUGGCAAUGCACCUUGGAGAACAAGACUCGAAUUGUGAAAGUCUGAAUUAAUAUAUUUUGAUUUAUA